UUGAGUUUGAUGAUGGCUCUGAAUGAACGCUGUCCAAAUGCUUGACACAUGCUAAUCGAACGUCAUCUUUUUUUAAGAUGAAGUGGUGUACAGGUGAGUAAUGGGUGAAUCAAUAACCUUAAAGUAAGGACUAAGAUACCUUAUAUUAACAAAGAAAUAUUUCGCUUUAAGACUUUGUUUACAUCCCGGAUUGCAGUAGUUAAAGUAAUUUCUUAACUAGCUUACAUACGAUCCGUAGUCGUGACUGAGAGGUUUAUCGACCACAGUGUGGCCUGAACAAAGCCCACGGUUAACUACAGCAGUGAGGAAUCUUGGUCAAUAGCCUAACGGCUGAACCAGUAACUUGGAUGAAUGUAAAUCGACUCCGUCGAAUAAAGUUCUAGUUAAGUUAUGAUAAUGACAUUUCUUAACUAUGUGUCUUGACCAAAUCACGUGCCAGCAGUCGCGGUAAGACGUGGAAGGCAAGCGUUAUUCAUCUUUAGCAGGUUUAAAGGGUACCUAGACGGUAAAUCAAGCCCCAAAAGGGUACUAAUUUACUAGAGUUUAAUAAGAGAGGGGGAGUACUGAUGAGUGGAGAGAUGAAAUUCAAUGAUACCAUUAGGAACAGACAAGGGCGAAAGCGACCUUUUACAUAAAACUGACGUUGAGGGACGAAGGCUUUAGUCGUGAACAGGAUUAGAUACCCAAGUAAUUAAAGCAGACAAUGAUGAAUGUCAUAGAUUAGUAAGCAUUUACUUUUAAUCUAUAAAUAUUAAAAGUAAGCAUGCUUUUAACUUUUUAAUAUAUAAAUAAGUAAGCACUUAAAGCACUUUGUUGUUUCCGCUGAAGUUAGCAUCAAAUUGUUUUAAGUGGGCAUCUACUAUUAAUCUAUAAAUGAAAGUGUAAGCAUUCCACCUCAAGAGUAAUGUGGCAACGCAGAAACUGAAAUCAUUAGACCGUUUCUGAAACCAGUAGUGAAGUAUGUUGUUUAAUUUGAUGAUCCGCAAAAGACCUUACCACAAUUUGUAUAUUAUUAUUUUUUUUUAAUAAUACAAGUGUUGCACGGCUGUCUUCAGUUAAUGUCGUGAGAUCAGGUUAGUUCCAUUAAAUUAACGUAAACCCUUACUUUAUUUAUAUUAUAAAGUAGAUCACCGCUAUAUUGGAUGUGAUAAUAGGGACUAAGACAAGUCAUCAUGGCCUAAAUAUUGUGGGCGAUAGACGUGCCACAUAAUCGGAUACAAAGGGAUGCGAAAUUGUGAAAAAUAGCUAAUCCCACAAAAUCCGAUAAAAUAUGAAUUAUAGUCUGUAAUUCGACUGUAUGAAAAAGGAAUUACUAGUAAUCGUGAAUAAGAACGUCACGGUGAAUUAUACCUCAGAUAGGUACUAACUACUCGUCAGGCGCUGGAUGGGGUUCGUGCAAUAAGUUUGGUUGUAAUAUGCUUUUAAUUUGGAUAAUUAGGUCUAAAAAUGUAUAGAAACGAUUUUCGUAUGCGUGUCUUCUACUGGUGUUAAGUCGAAAUACGGUUCGUGUAGUGGAAGUUGCACGGGAUUAAUUAAACUU
rnacentral:rRNA from 1 species